UACGUAGGGGGCAAGCGUUAUCCGGAUUUACUGGGUGUAAAGGGAGCGUAGGCGGCAAGGUAAGCCAGAAGUGAAAGCCCGCGGCUCAACUGCGGGACUGCUUUUGGAACUAUCUAGCUAGAUUGCAGGAGAGGUAAGCGGAAUUCCUGGUGUAGCGGUGAAAUGCGUAGAUAUCAGGAGGAACACCGGCGGCGAAGGCGGCUUACUGGACUGUAACUGACGUUGAGGCUCGAAGGCGUGGGGAGCAAACAGG
rnacentral:rRNA from 1 species